AUAUAAUCAAGAAAUAACCAUAAAAACAGGCAACCAGCAUCCCUCAGGGUUGCUCUGCCUAUGGAGUAGCCAUUCUUUUACUCCUUUACUUUCCUAAUAAACUUGCUUUCACUUUGCUCUGUGGACACGCCUGGAAUUCUUCCUUGCAUGAGAUCCAACAACUCUCUCUUGGGUUCUGGACCGAGAUGCCUUUCCAGUAACAUCUUCACAUUCCCCUUCAAUAAAAUGUGCAUAGUAAUAAAGCCUACUUGGGGUUGUAGCAGGGAUUAACUGAGAAAACACAGGUGAUAUGCUUAACUCAGUGCCUGUUACAUGAAUCAGGCAACAUCUCAUCCUAUAAAAUAAAAUGGGUUUUCCGAUGAGCUGAGAAGACGAGCCUGGCUUUAUAGGCAGAAAAGGGCUGAAGAAAACAGAAACAGAGAACAAAAAGCAGAUGCUUUGUUUCAAGGAUCCGGUUUUGUUCAGGUGUUCACACGAAUCAUGAGAUUCACAGGAAUGGGAAGCCGAACUCAUUCCCAGCUCCAGAAGUGGAUGCUGAUAUUUUAAACCAAUCACCAGAUGCCAUUCCUUUGAUGAUGAUGAUUAAUUUGUCCAGGGGCAGGUAUGAGACCCAACUUGAACUGGUCAGACAGAAGGGAAGGACAUAAUUCCAAAUGGACACCUGUUCUCUCUCCUACCAGUGAGGAAAAGGAAACGAGAUGUCCAGCUGUUGGCCCCAGUCAUAAGAGGAAGCUGAUGCUGCGGAUGAAGAGUGGAGCAAUGGAAAUAAUCUGGGGUCCAGUAACAUUGCUAAACUACUGAUUCAACUAGCCUUUCUUUUUUUCUUUUCUUUUUCUUUCUUUUCUUUUUUCUUUCUUUUUUUUUUUUUUUAAGAGACAGGGUCUUGCUCUGUCACCUAGGCUGGAGUGCAGUGGUGAGAUUAUAUCUCACUGCAGCCUCCCACUUCUGGGCUCAAAUGAUCUUUCCUCCUCAGCUUCCCAAGUAGCUAGGACUAUAGGUUCAUGCCACCACACUGGGCUAAUUUUUAAAUUUUUUUUGUAGAGACAGGGUCUUGCUAUGUUGCCAAGGCUGGUCUAGAACUCUUGGCCUCAAGUGAUGCACCUUCCUCUUCCUCCCAAAGCACUGGGAUUACAAAGGCAUGAGGCACCAUGCCUGACUAACCAUGAAGACUGCUUUAUCUCUGAAUAAAUCCCCUUUUUUUAAAACCCAGCUUUUGUGAGGGUUUCUGUUACUUGCAGCAAAAGGGUCCUGAUGGACACAGUUGUUUUUGCAAUGUAUGAGAAAUCCUCAAAACUGGCUUUUCCCAUGCUUGCCUUCCUCUCCGUUACACGCACUGCCUAAAGCAAAGUGACUGCUUCCUCGGGAGUCAGGUUUUAAGGUCCCUGGGGUAGUUCUGCUUCCACAGUUUAGGUUUACCAAGAGGCAGAUAUGUUUGUCCACGAGCUGGUUUUGCCAGUUGCACUUGUUUUUGUAAUUAUGUAAAGCAAUGAAAUAUGAGUGAGGGAAAGAAUUGCUGUUGUCCAAAAUCCAAACUGAAUGCUUUCCAUAAACAGUAAAGACAAGUUGCUUAGAAAACAAAGCAAAUACAAAACAAUCUUAGAGUUUCAUGCAGGUGAGGCAAGUGUAAAAUAAUUGGAAAAUUUUGUUAAAUCUAGAAUAAUUCUGAACUCAGAUUGUUCCCCAACUGUCCUUCAGUUCUGGCUCUACUUUAAAGCUAUUGGGACUGAAAACCACUGACUUUUUAAAUGACUACACAUGACUCCUAUUAGAUGUCACAUGUCUUAAAAGAGGCCUUAUCCCUUCAAAAUACUGUCAAAUGAAAGAAUAUUUAUAUGUUUUACUUUAGUAAAAUAUUAAAAAUGUUUUCCAUUUUUAAUGUUUCUUUGCUCUAACUGACUAACUGCUUUAACUGAUUACCCAACUAGCUACCAGUCUGGUGGCUUCUGAGUAAAUGUACCCCUGUUCCUCUUUAGCCCCUUCUCCUACCUGGUCAACCUACUGCCCUCAGUCUCUUUCCUUUCUCCAUCUUGUCAGCAUAGAACAGUACAGCAUCAAUAACAACUGAUUUUUGCAAAAUUAUAAUUACAAUAGCAAGAGUAUUUUUCUUUUUUUUUUUGUUUUGAGAUGGAGUAUCGCUCUGUCGCCCAGGCUGUUGUGCGGUGGCAUGAUCUCGGCUCACUGCAAGCUCCAUCUCCUGGGUUCACUCCAUUCUCCUGCCUCAGCCUCCCGAGUAGCUGGGACUACAGGCGACCGCCACCACGCCCGGCUAAUUUUUUUGUAUUUUUAGUGGAGACAGGGUUUCACCGUGUUAGCCAGGAUGGGCUCGAUCUCCUGACCUUGUGAUCCGCCUGCCUCGGCCUCCCAAAGUGCUGGGAUUACAGGCAUGAGCCACUGUGCCUGGCCGAGUAUUUUUCAUUUUAAUAAAAGUUCUGGGAGGAUCUACACUAAAGUGUUAACUGCUAUUUCUGCAUGAAGAGACUGUGGAUUUUUUUCUUAUUUUCAUGUAUGAGGAUAAUAAUGAUGUGUACUAGUAUUGACUUGGUUAUAACAAACUAAAAAUAAUCUUUUAACCCAAGAACAAAGAAUAUUUUGUCUUUUUAUGAGAAUUUACUUUUUACAGAGAACUUUUAGAUCCAUUGAAUCAAUGGUACUUCACAACUACACUGCAAAGAAAACAUUUAUUCCUGCUUCCCGAUGAGGAAACCAAAAUGGGAGAAGGGGAAACCAUGUGGCCUCAGAUGACAAAGCAAGUAAGAAAUAGAGCCUGUUUAGAUGCCCAGGUCCCUGAUGUCUGCUUCAAGUAGUUUUUCGUUUCCCUCAGCAUCACUAAAGAUUUAAUGAAAGCAGAUUGAUCAUAGCUAAAUAUGCUUCCUCUGACAGAAUGAAGAGCAUUUGGCAAUGUAAAAAAAUAGAGUUUUAAGUGAUGAAAGCGCAAGUCCAGAAGGAGACUGGGAGAGGAGGAAGGCCUUCACAGCACUGUUGGGUACUUCCAUACAAGGCCAGUGUCACGUAGGAUACGGUGGCUUCCUUUCUUGAUCAACCACCCCCCAAGACUUCAAAUCAGCUCUGUUAGUCUGUACUGGAAAAUGUGGGCCCACUGUUUAACCUCUUUGGGCUUCAUCAUUGUGUUCUAUUAAAUAGGAGUGAUGAUAGUCACAAGAUUGUUGUCAGAAUUUGAAAUGUUGAUGUAUAUAAAGCCCUUAACACAGCAGCUGAUGGGUUCUAGCAUUGUCAUCAUAAUAAAAACUAGUAAUACUGUUAGUAGUAAUCACACCACUGCUGCUUUAACGGGAAGUAGCAGACUUGCUGAGGGCUACCAGGCUGAUGGGCACUAAUGCUGGAAGAUCAUGAAUCAGAACAAUACACUCUAAGGAUUCAUCAAAACUAUUAUAAUUUUUCUAAGCUUAUCUCAGUUCUCUUCAUUCUUAUGCUGAGAAUUUGACUUCUCAGAGUUUUUUGGGCAACCUCUUUAUCACCUUUAUCAUCUAUUUUAUAAGAAUUAUCACCUCCACUACCACAAACCUCAUUGGUAGUGUUAGACAGAUCACUGAGGCAGAAAGCGAACACAGAAAUUCUGGACUUAAAUUCAACACUUGACCAAAUUGUACCUAAUAGACAUCUAUAGAAUACUCCACCCACUGACAACAGAGUAUAGUCUUCUCAUCUGCAUAUGAACACACUCCAAGAACAACUACAUGCUCAACUAUAAACCAAGUCUUAAUAAAUUCAAAAAAUUUCAAAAUAAUACCAAUCAUAUUCUUGGACCACACUGGAAUAAAAACAGAAAUCAAUACCAAGAUGAUCUUUCAAAAACCACACAAUUACAUGGAAAUUAAACAAUUUGCACUGGAUUGGCUUCUAAACAAUGAAUUUAAGGCAGGAAUAAAAAAAUUAUUUGAAAUAAAUGAAAACAGAGACACAACAUACCAAAAUCUCUGGGAUGCAACAAAAGUAGUGUCAACAAGACAGUUAAUAGCCCUAAAUGCCUAACUCAAAAGGUACAGAGGUCUCAAAUUAACAAUCUAGCAUCACACUUAGAGGAGCUAGAAAGACAAGAAGAAACAACUCUAAAGCUAGCACAAGAAAAGAAAUAACUAGGACUGGGCAUGUUGGCUCAUGCCUAUAAUCCCAGCAGUUUGGGAGGCCAAAGUGGAAAAAUGAUUAAGUCCAGGAGUUUGAGACCAGCCUGGGCAAGGUGGUAAGACCACAGGGCAACACUGCAAAACCCCAUCUCUACCAAAGUAAAAACAAAAAUAAAUAUUAGCCAGGCAUGAUGGUGUGUGCCUGUAGUCCCAGCUACUUGCAAGGCUGAGGUGGGAGGAUUGCUUGAGCCCAGGAGUUCAAGGCUGCAGUGAGGUAUGAUCAUGCUACUCCCCACCAGCCUGGAUAACAGAGCAAGACCCUGUUGAAAGAAAAAAGAAAGAGGAAAGAAAGAAAGAAGGAAAGAAAGAAAGAAAGAAAGAAAGAAAGAAGAAAGAAAAAGAAAGAGAAAGAAAAAGAAAGAAAAGAAAGAAAAAAGAAAAAGAGAAAGGAGGGAAG
rnacentral:lncRNA from 1 species